rnacentral:rRNA from 1 species
GUAACUCNACGCGGCAGGCCUAACACAUGCAAGUCGAGGGGUAACAUAGGAAAGCUUGCUUUUCUGAUGACGACCGGCGCACGGGUGCGUAACGCGUAUACAACCUACCUUUUAGCGGGGAAUAGCCCAGGGAAACUUGGAUUAAUGCCCCAUAGUAUAUAAACUUCUCCUGAAGUUUAUAUUAAACAUUUAUGGCUAUUAGAUGGGUAUGCGUCCUAUUAGUUAGUUGGUAAGGUAACGGCUUACCAAGGCAGCGAUAGGUAGGGGUCCUGAGAGGGAGAUCCCCCACACUGGUACUGAGACACGGACCAGACUCCUACGGGAGGCAGCAGUGAGGAAUAUUGGACAAUGGGCGAGAGCCUGAUCCAGCCAUGCCGCGUGCAGGAAGACUGCCCUAUGGGUUGUAAACUGCUUUUACAGAGGAAGAACCACCCCCACGUGUGGGGGUUUGACGGUACUCUGCGAAUAAGGAUCGGCUAACUCCGUGCCAGCAGCCGCGGUAAUACGGAGGAUCCAAGCGUUAUCCGGAAUCAUUGGGUUUAAAGGGUCCGUAGGCGGGCAGUUAAGUCAGUGGUGAAAGUCUUCCGCUCAACGGGAGAACUGCCAUUGAUACUGAUUGUCUUGAGUUAUUAUGAAGUGGUUAGAAUGAGUAGUGUAGCGGUGAAAUGCAUAGAUAUUACUCAGAAUACCGAUUGCGAAGGCAGAUCACUAUUAUUAUACUGACGCUGAUGGACGAAAGCGUAGGUAGCGAACAGGAAUAGAUACCCCUGGUAGUCUACGCCGUAACCGAUGGGUACU